UGGGGAAUAUUGGACAAUGGGCGAAAGCCUGAUCCAGCAAUACCGAGUGAGUGAUGAAGGUCCUAGGGUUGUAAAGCUCUUUUAGCAAGGAAGAUAAUGACGUUACUUGCAGAAAAAGCCCCGGCUAACUCCGUG
rnacentral:rRNA from 1 species